GACGAACGCUGGCGGCGUGCUUAACACAUGCAAGUCGAACGGAAAGGCCCCCUUGUGGGGUACUCGAGUGGCGAACGGGUGAGUGACACGUGAGUAACCUACCCUUGACUUUGGGAUAACUUCAGGAAACUGGGGCUAAUACCGGAUAGGAGCUCCUGCUGCAUGGUGGGGGUUGGAAAGUUUCGGCGGUUGGGGAUGGACUCGCGGCUUAUCAGCUUGUUGGUGGGGUAGUGGCUCACCAAGGCUUUGACGGGUAGCCGGCCUGAGAGGGUGACCGGCCACAUUGGGACUGAGAUACGGCCCAGACUCCUACGGGAGGCAGCAGUGGGGAAUAUUGCACAAUGGGCGGAAGCCUGAUGCAGCAACGCCGCGUGCGGGAUGACGGCCUUCGGGUUGUAAACCGCUUUCGCCUGUGACGAAGCGUGAGUGACGGUAAUGGGUAAAGAAGCACCGGCUAACUACGUG
rnacentral:rRNA from 1 species